GACGAACGCUGGCGGCGUGCUUAACACAUGCAAGUCGAACGAAGAGCGAUGGAAGCUUGCUUCUAUCAAUCUUAGUGGCGAACGGGUGAGUAACGCGUAAUCAACCUGCCCUUCAGAGGGGGACAACAGUUGGAAACGACUGCUAAUACCGCAUACGAUCUAAACUCGGCAUCGAGGAUAGAUGAAAGGUGGCCUCUACAUGUAAGCUAUCACUGAAGGAGGGGAUUGCGUCUGAUUAGCUAGUUGGAGGGGUAACGGCCCACCAAGGCGAUGAUCAGUAGCCGGUCUGAGAGGAUGAACGGCCACAUUGGGACUGAGACACGGCCCAGACUCCUACGGGAGGCAGCAGUGGGGAAUCUUCCGCAAUGGACGAAAGUCUGACGGAGCAACGCCGCGUGAGUGAUGACGGCCUUCGGGUUGUAAAGCUCUGUUAAUCGGGACGAAAGGCCUUCUUGCGAAGAGUGAGAAGGAUUGACGGUACCGGAAUAGAAAGCCACGGCUAACUACGU
rnacentral:rRNA from 1 species